GUAGACUUUCGCCUGUGUGAUUAACAUGGUGGACAUCUAGCAAGCCUUCAUCAUCAUUAUAAAGAACUGCUUAGUACAAGGACCUAUCAUUGCAAAGGCGUUGCAGAAAGAUUCAAGGAGAUUUGCUAACAUGCCUAAUUAAUUUAUCGUUAAGAACAUGAUGACAUUACCUGUCUGAUAACUAGAAAUAUGAUGAGCUUUGGAACACUGUCAACC